CUUGUUCUUGCCGUGAAUAUUAUUGUUGCCUUGUGUGAAUGGUAGCUUGAAGUUACUUGCUUGGUGUGGCUUGUAACUUGUUGUUGCGUGAGGAUGCUUGUUGCUUGCGUGAGCUUGGUUGUUUGAGUAUUGAAUUUCGGCCAUUGUUUAAGUUUGGUGUAAACUUGGUUGCCGUGUGCUCUUGCUUGGGUUGGUGUUGAGUUUCGGCCAUUG
rnacentral:misc_RNA from 1 species